rnacentral:misc_RNA from 1 species
GUGAUUAAAUCGAGCGUGUCUUCAUUGACCGCUCACCCUUCUCACCAUCCACAUACACCUGUGCACUGUUUAGCCUGAGCCGGUUUUCCGGUCCAGGUUAUCAUUCAUACAAACUCUAGUCUUAUGAAUGUAAACGGUUUUAAUAACAUAAUA